AUCUGGCCUGGUUGCACUCUCU
rnacentral:miRNA from 1 species